AGACCUCAGUCCUUUAAAAGCAAAACAAAAAUCUUGUUGCCCAUAUUCUUCUGCCUUUCCUCAGUAUGAGCUUAAGAAUUUCUUUCACUCUCUUGUCAAUGUUCUUGCUGUUGUUAGCGGUGGCAGGGGCAGAGUCUCAAAAUUUACCUUUACCCCUGAAACCAUUGAAUGAGAGGGACGUGUCGAAUCUGCAUUUGAAACCAGGAGGAAACAGAUAUCCCCUCCUGAGGCCAGUGAUUAAAGGAACCCUAGGCAACCCUCCGAUUUAGGAAAUUUGAGACGAAAAUUGGAUGUCACUACAAAAAUAUAUCUAUAUUAAUAGAGCAGCGGUUCUCAGCCUGUGGUCCGCAGACCACUGGCGUUCCGCAAGGGUAGUACUGGAGUCCGUGAAUUAAAUUCAAAAUUUCAUAUACAGAAAGGAAUGUGGAACCUGAUCUGCGUUUAAAACUGUCUGCCAUUGAACCUAUAAUUCAGAACAUGGCAUCAGCAAAGCAGCAUAAGCCGUCUCAUUAAUGAGAUGAAGAGAAUGUAAUUUGUUUCUGUUAUUUCAUUUUGUAUUUUAUUUUUUACUUAUUUUCCUUUUUUUUAUUCACUUACAUAAGUCUGUUGAGAUGAAUCUAGUAAGUCCAGUUGGUUGCUAGUUUAAUAAAGUCAGUCUGUUAA
rnacentral:lncRNA from 1 species